rnacentral:rRNA from 1 species
UACAGAGGUCUCAAGCGUUGUUCGGAAUCACUGGGCGUAAAGGGUGCGUAGGCCGCACGGUAAGUCAGAGGUGAAAUCCCGGAGCUCAACUUCGGAAUUGCCUCCGAUACUGCCGUGCUUGAGGACUGGAGAGGAGAUUGGAAUUCACAGUGGAGCAGUGAAAUGCGUAGAUAUUGUGAGGAACACUAGUGGCGAAGGCGAAUCUCUGGACAGUUCCUGACGGCUGAGGCACGAAGGCCAGGGGAGCAAACGGG